CUAUCUUCGAGAGGGUCAAGUAACGUAAAAGGCGUUGCUAGUGGGCGGCGCGAGCCCCCGCGACAUCAUCAAAUUGCGGGAACACCCUAAAGCUGGUCGCUACUAAGCGGGCGUCGAAAGACAGCCCGUGGCCGGGGUAAUGACCUCAGGGUACAGUAAAAACGCGCCAGAUGGAACAAUGGGCAAUCCGCAGCCAAGUCCUACGUCCGGUCCCCCCCCUCCCCUGGGGUUGGGGGGCGCCUGGAUAUGGAUGCAGUUCAACGACUAAACGGUGAUGGGCUGGCGCAGGGAGGUGCGGCCUGCACGCUCCUGCGCCCCGGCUUAAGAUAUAGUCUACUCCUGCUCCGAGAGGAGAGG
rfam:Villosiclava virens strain TV-8b Sca_402, whole genome shotgun sequence.